rnacentral:lncRNA from 1 species
AAUUCUUUGAAGCUUGAAGACAUGCCUAUCAAUUCUCAUCAUCAAUAAAAAUUUGUUUUGUUUUAAAACCAUUAUUAAGGUUAGCCAAAAUACCAAUACUCGGCCUCAUCCAGAUUAUGCUAAUUAUACUUCUUCCAACACUCAUUAACGAUUAUGAGAAUUUGUGCAAUGUGGAUGACAGGUACUAUCAAAAGACAGCGAAUAUAUGCAUAAUUUCUAAUGUUCUCUUUGCGAAAAUAUAAUAAAGCUAUGGUUAAGAAUAACUCAUGCUCUCAAUCAGUUUGAUACUUAUAUUAAAUAAACUGAAACAGAACCUGGGUUUAGAUCUUGGCUCCUCGGCAACAUUCUCUCAAGCAUAUAUGUAGUGUAUGUAGUGUAAUCAGCAACAAACUCACUUUUGAACUUUCAUAUCCCUUGAGGCGAUUUAACGAACAGCUCCUGAUUUGAAUUUUAACAAUUCUGCCUCAACUUGUAAUGAACCGAGUUUUAUACCAGAAUUGUCUAUAUACUUUCCCUGCAUAGUCUUCACAUGAAAACUAGCUGCAUGAUUGAUUGAUGGGGUGUAAAACCAGUAGGAAAUAUCUUGAAGAAACCAAAGAUCCGUGGAUUUUUAUGCUUACCACCAAAUGAAUUUAACAAUUUGUGUAAUCUUUAUUUUAAGAAAUUGAACAUUGAUAAUACCGCAAAUCGAUUGCUCUUUUGAACAGACUUUAUAUCUUGAGUUCGAUGAAAAGAGAACAAUCAAUCAAGAAAUAUAAAUACAUCAGCAAAAUAAUGAUGGUAGUAGCAUUACACAUCUAAUUAGCCAUAACGAAGCCGAAUAAUUAGCCAUAAUAAAUCUGAACUGUUAACAUUAUGUCAAGCAUGUUGUUGGAAAAUAUUAAAUUAAUUCAUUUGCAAGUAUAAUAGCAUGUAAUCUUGAAUUAUGAAUGAAGCCCAUUCUAACAAGCUAAUUUUGUAAAGGAACAUUAUCAACGAAUUCCAAGGGAUAAUAUUCAAUUUCAGCAAAUAUAUCAUGCACGGUAUUGAAACAUGCAUGUUAUUAAAGAAUUUCCAAGCAUCUCUCAUUUGAUAAAUCAAUAAUCAUAGCAAUUGGAAAUUGAAUUUUAAUGACAAUAUACUUAAAGCAAUAAAUAAGCCAAAACCUUUACAGGUAAGCAUUCCAUCCAGCCUUGAUUGGCUUCCGUGUUUGAGCCAGCUUAUCAAUUUGUGCAUGAUAAUAUUCUGCCUUUGGCUUGGCCGGAUGAAAAAUUGGUAGAGACAAGAAGUUGGCUUUUUGUACCGAUUCCCCACAGACAGUGCCAAAUGUUGAUGCCCAAAUCUGAUCUAGUCUAUUAGCGACUUAAUAUCAAACUUCUACACCAGCAUUAGAUUUAUUUGGUAGAGAAUCGAUUGGUCAAUCGUCAAGAUGUCCUGCAACCACUAGCGAUUAACUUGCGAAUACUUAAAAUCAUAGAAGACGGUCAGAGGCGCUGAAAGUUUUUCCGGCGUGAACCCUCCGACACUCAAGUCAGUUUCUGGGCCUUUGCCAAAAAACUUGUGCCACCACUCAUAUGGCUUAAUAAACAUUGCCUUAAAAACCAAAAGCUUUUUGAGUAAUUUGCAGAAAACUGAAAGAGUAUAAAAGAAAGGAUUUUCCAUGAGUGGAAGAGAGAAAAAGAUGCCCUGCAGACCCCGAAAACAUAAAUAAAUCCUCCUUUUAAGGUCAUGCCCCACUCCCCUCUUUUCCCCUUUGUUCUCCUCCACUUACGGAAGUUAAGGAUGAGAUAAAAGUAAUGCCUCCACUCUCCAUUUUUUUUUCUCCUUUUUCCGUUACCAAACACCUACAAAUCUUAUCCCUACUAAUAUGCUCUAUAAGCCAUUAUUCUUCUAAAAUUAUUAAAUGCCAUUCUUCAUUCAAGCUUUCAUGGACAUUAUUUACAAAUUGUUCUUGUAUUUGACAGAAAAAUGAAAACUCCUCGUCAUACAAAACUGCAUGAACAAAUCUUCUGUUUAAUUAUGAUAAAAUAAUAAAUUCCAUUAACAGAUUCUGCUGUAUGUUAAUGUGAGGGAUUUGAUCAGAUGAUCAUAUAAUUUACUACACGCUUUAAGAAGAACAAAAAUUGAUGACUUAAAAAUUAAAAAAUAAACAUAUAAAGAGUAGAUACAAAGAAUGUUAUUUGCAAUCAACAAACUGAAGAACAGGGGAAUGAUAACAGAGGACGGUUGCUGCAACAUUAUGAAGUCAAAAUUAAGAAAGGCAUUUUUUUCUUUUUUUUUUACAUUAUUCUAUUUAAUCUUAAAUUUUUACAAUCACCAAAUGGAAAAACAGGGGACUGAAAACAAAGAAGCCCUGUUUGCAGAAACAGGGGAGUUUCCGGGUUUCUGGAAACAAACUCAGAAACGAAUGAACUGGCUGCCGGCGGUACUUUCUAGAUAAAUCUCUUGGUGUAUAUAAGCUUUCAUGAUCUGGUUUUAGUCUGGUUAGGUUCAGCCACUGUGACUGUUAGGGAUUCUCGUAAACUGAAUUUAAAGUUGCGGCUUAAAGUGUUUACCAACUUAAAACCAGAGCUAUAAAGUGUUUGAUGAAUUAUUUUUUAAUUUAAAAAAAUAAAAAACUGAUUUAGCGGGAUAAAAUAAUGCUCCAUUCUGUUUAGUAUGUGAAGUCCAGAGUAUUACAAAGAGAUAACUGAAUCUUCAAUGUAAUAAAAUAAUGAUCAGCCUCAGAGGAUACAUAAAAAGCUCAUUUAUCACAACCAUAUCCUAGUGCAUCAUAAACUUGAUUAUUUAAUUUUACUAUUAGGAAACCUACUUAUAUAAGGCGCACACCACAAAUUCUAAAUUAAAUUUCUAACUAAGAAUAAAAGGUAAAGCCUAGCAAUUUUCCACCAGGUGCCGUGUAGCCUGCAUCAUAAAUUUUGAUUUAAAUCUUUGUAAUCACCGAACAGAAAAACCGGGGAAUGAAAACAGAGGAGCCCUAUUUUUCCAUUUUUUUAACCCUUAACUCUUGUUCUGCUGUACGGCCAAGGCGGAUGUACGGUACAGCAGCUGCAUAGUCUUCACAUGAAAACUAGCUGCAUGAUUGAUUGAUGGGGUGUAAAACCAGUAGGAAAUAUCUUGAAGAAACCAAAGAUCCGUGGAUUUUUAUGCUUACCACCAAAUGAAUUUAACAAUUUGUGUAAUCUUUAUUUUAAGAAAUUGAACAUUGAUAAUACCGCAAAUCGAUUGCUCUUUUGAACAGACUUUAUAUCUUGAGUUCGAUGAAAAGAGAACAAUCAAUCAAGAAAUAUAAAUACAUCAGCAAAAUAAUGAUGGUAGCAGCAUUACACAUCUAAUUAGCCAUAACGAAGCUGAAUAAUUAGCCAUAAUAAAUCUAAACUGUUAACAUUAUGUCAAGCAUGUUGUUGGAAAAUAUUAAAUUAAUUCAUUUGCAAGUAUAAUAGCAUGUAAUCUUGAAUUAUGAAUGAAGCCCAUUCUAACAAGCUAAUUUUGUAAAGGAACAUUAUCAACGAAUUCCAAGGGAUAAUAUUCAAUUUCAGCAAAUAUAUCAUGCACGGUAUUGAAACAUGCAUGUUAUUAAAGAAUUUCCAAGCAUCUCUCAUUUGAUAAAUCAAUAAUCAUAGCAAUUGGAAAUUGAAUUUUAAUGACAAUAUACUUAAAGCAAUAAAUAAGCCAAAACCUUUACAGGUAAGCAUUCCAUCCAGCCUUGAUUGGCUUCCGUGUUUGAGCCAGCUUAUCAAUUUGUGCAUGAUAAUAUUCUGCCUUUGGCUUGGCCGGAUGAAAAAUUGGUAGAGACAAGAAGUUGGCUUUUUGUACCGAUUCCCCACAGACAGUGCCAAAUGUUGAUGCCCAAAUCUGAUCUAGUCUAUUAGCGACUUAAUAUCAAACUUCUACACCAGCAUUAGAUUUAUUUGGUAGAGAAUCGAUUGGUCAAUCGUCAAGAUGUCCUGCAACCACUAGCGAUUAACUUGCGAAUACUUAAAAUCAUAGAAGACGGUCAGAGGCGCUGAAAGUUUUUCCGGCGUGAACCCUCCGACACUCAAGUCAGUUUCUGGGCCUUUGCCAAAAAACUUGUGCCACCACUCAUAUGGCUUAAUAAACAUUGCCUUAAAAACCAAAAGCUUUUUGAGUAAUUUGCAGAAAACUGAAAGAGUAUAAAAGAAAGGAUUUUCCAUGAGUGGAAGAGAGAAAAAGAUGCCCUGC